UGACAAACGUGCCUCGGGUUGUAAACCA
rnacentral:piRNA from 1 species